rnacentral:rRNA from 1 species
UACGUAGGGUGCAGGCGUUAAUCGGAAUUACUGGGCGUAAAGCGUGCGCAGGCGGUUUCUUAAGUCAGAUGUGAAAGCCCCGGACUUAACCUGGGAACUGCGUUUGAAACUGGGAGACUUGAGUGUGGCAGAGGGGGGUGGAAUUCCACGUGUAGCAGUGAAAUGCGUAGAUAUGUGGAGGAACACCGAUGGCGAAGGCAGCCCCCUGGGUUAACACUGACGCUCAUGCACGAAAGCGUGGGGAGCAAACAGG